rnacentral:rRNA from 1 species
UUUGGAGGGCAAGUCUGGUGCCAGCAGCCGCGGUAAUUCCAGCUCCAAUAGCGUAUAUUAAAGUUGUUGCAGUUAAAAAGCUCGUAGUUGAAUUUCGGGAUUUGACACGUUCGGUCGUGCCUUAGGGGUAUGAACUGGUGUCGAUGAAUUUCUCACCUUCUGAAUAACCGCGAUGCCAUUAAGUUUGGUGUCGCGGGGAACCAGGACCUUUUACUUUGAAAAAAUUAGAGUGUUUAAAGCGGGCUAGUGCUUGAAUAGAUUAGCAUGGAAUAAUAAAAUAGGACGGCAUGGUUCUAUUUUGUUGGUUUCUAGGAUCACCGUAAUGAUUAAUAGGGAUAGUUGGGGGCAUUAGUAUUCAAUUGUCAGAGGUGAAAUUCUUGGAUUUAUUGAAGACUAACUACUGCGAAAGCAUUUGCCAAGGAUGUUUUCAUUAAUCAAGAACGAAAGUUAGGGGAUCGAAGACGAUCAGAUACCGUCGUAGUCUUAACCAUAAACUAUGCCGACUAGGAAUCGGACGAUGUUAAUUUUUUAAUGACUCGUUCGGCGCCUUACGGGAAACCA